rnacentral:rRNA from 1 species
GUCGGGUAGAGAAUACCAAGGCGCUUGAGAGAACUCGGGUGAAGGAACUAGGCAAAAUGGUACCGUAACUUCGGGAGAAGGUACGCUCUUGAUGGUGAAGUCCCUCGCGGAUGGAGCUGACGAGAGUCGCAGAUACCAGGUGGCUGCAACUGUUUAUUAAAAACACAGCACUGUGCAAAAUCGUAAGAUGACGUAUACGGUGUGACGCCUGCC